rnacentral:lncRNA from 1 species
AUUUCUUUCCAGAAGGGGUUGUUGGGCGUUGGAAUGGGCUGCCCAGGGAGGUGGUGGAGUCCCCAUCCCUGGAGGGGUUGAAGAGUCGGGUUGACAUAGAGCUGAGGGACCUGGUGUAGUUGGAAACUGCCAAUGCUGGGUUAAUGGUUGGACUGGAUGAUCUUCAAGGUCCUUUCCAACCUAGNAUAUGCAGGAGACCUCAGCUUCCUAAACAAAACCCUCUUUUUUAUUCCAGCCCCGUGACGCUCACUGCACGUGCCCUCCAGGUUACUGGAGGUCCGUAGGUGAUGGAAGACACUGUGUCAGACAAGCAUAUGAUAUUUGCCGAGAUCCAGCCUCCCGAAAUCAGGAGGGACAGUGUUUAACCAAGAAAGGAUGGGUUCAUUAUUGCUCGGAGAAGGUUUGUACUGUCCCCAGAGAUUAUCAAGGCUAUGACAAGGUUCUUGGCCUCUGCAUUUGUCAACCUGACAGUCUGGAGAGCGUGUGUAAUUCUCAAUGUAGAAGGCAACAAAGAGACACUCUGCAGGUCACCUGUACAGAGAAAAACGCCCAGCUCUUAUUCACUUACAGAAAUGGGAGCAAGACUGCUGUUUUCUUAGAAGAAUUAAGAACAGUUCUACUAAGACCAUAUUUCUCUUUAAAAGACGUCUGCACCUCAGAACAAAGCACACAUACCCAUCCAACAUACAUCGUGAAAAUGAGUGGGAAAGGAUUUUUAGGAGUGUACAAUCCUGACCCACAACUAUUUCACAACUUCAUGAUGCUAAAUGAGGCUUCCUCACAUCACAGAAACAGGCAUUCUUCAGGAACAACUCCAGUUAAGUCUGGCCAUGAAGAACACGGGGUACAAAGCCUGAGACCUUCAAACUCCACAUCGAAAAUCACAUUUACUGGCAUCUUAAAUCCUACCACGUGCAUUAAUGUUAAUGUUACUGUCAUGUUCAUUGUCUCCAAGGAGCACUACCCAGUUUAUGAUGUAAACAACCUGUACAAUACAAAUGCUGAGUUUGACUGGGGAGACUUUCGAAGCCUCAAAGAAGAAAUAAGAGAGGCCUCCCAAGAAUUCCUCUUCUUCCUUUUCCAGUUCCAGAACGCUGGUACCUACGUGCUACGGCUAAGUAGCAAUCAACACAAAAAAAUGUACAUUAGGGUGAUGCCACUUGGAGGACAGUGUUAUGAAGAGGGGCCAUUCUUCCCCACAACACCCAGAUAUGUUGUACAGGUGGGCAUCGCAAAAAAACAAGACCUCCUACUGAAACCUGACUGGACAGCCAUUAUUGGAGUAAUCACAGGACUUCUCAUAUUGCUUAUUGCCUCUGUGGCAUUGACACUUCUUUGUCGGGGACUUAGCUGGGUGCAGAAAGGCACUACCUGCCCUCCAUUUCGACGGCAGCAGUUGAAGUAUAAUCUGGACAGCUAUUCCUCCAACAUAUCAAGACUCUUUUCCAUUAAAAAAUGUCACCCCUCGCUGCAGAACAAAGCCUGCUUCCUGAAGAGGGGUGAUGUUUGGGAGCCUGAAGAACAGAUAGAUCUUGAGUCAUUUAAUACCAAUGUUUUCUUUGAACUUCUGCUGAGACAGUCACUAGCCGUCACAACCAAACUGGGUCAUUUCAAAGAAGAGGUAAAAACUACAUAUCACAAGCUUACAAGUGAAAUAUCUUCAUUGAAAAACCUUUGGAUAAAGACACUGAGUAUCCCAGAAGAGAUGGAGGCUUAUGAGAGCACAAUAACAGAGGCUUACCUAAAAGCAAAACAGCAGGCAGAAGAAGAAAUGCAGCAAAGGAAACAGUUGGCUGCUGAGUAUGAGGAAAGUGUGAACAAACAGCUGCACUUAUUACAGCAUGAUCUGAAAUGUCAGGAAGAGCAUUGUGUCAUGUUCAAUUCUGUCUUGCGAGAGGCGGUGAGAGUGGCAGAGAUGCUGACAAGUAAGGUGGCUUGUAAAGGAAACCAAACAAUGCUGCCCCAGCCAGACUGUACAAGCCUGUUAGCCCAGAUAGAUGCUGCAAGCAGCCAGAUGUCAAGCAUAAUCAUAAAGGAGAGCCAUCGCCUCAAAGCAUGGGGAGUGCUGGGUGAAGGAAUGGGAGCUCACCUUCUUAACAAAGAUCAAACCAGGAUACUUACCAAGCAGGAGCUAAUGGACUCAAACGGCACUUCCCGAGCACCCGACGUUGUCUGCACGGAUCCUGUCACCGGAUUGUUGACUCCCUACCCACGCUGCACCAUGCUGCUGACAAGUCAGUGCCCUGGGCCAGUACCCACCAAUUCUUUUUUGCAUCCUGAGACUGGAAAGGUGCUUCACAUAGCUGGUAACAUCGGGUAUGAUCCCAUCAGAUCCAGGCUGGUCUGUGCUGUUGAUUCUGCUUCAGGUAAGCGUCAUAAGCCUGAAGUGCCAAUAUUUCCCUACAUUCCUUACCCGGUUUGUCCCAACACUGGCCUACCUGUGAAGACAAAACUUCCAGUCCUGUGUCCUGAAAAAAUGUUUGGUAUGGGAGGACUCAUGCUAGAUCCAGCGACAGAAAUAGAAGUUCCAGUGCUCGGGGUUACGAUCCACCCUCACACUGGGGAAAAGCUGACUGUUGGUGGGACAUACCUUAACCCACUUACUGGCAUGUUGACACCUCUGGAGAUCGGGGGCCCUAUGACUGAUCCAGAGGGAGGCAAGAUUGUUCCGAUACUCGGAGUCGGUUUGGAUAGUCACAGCGGAGAAGUUAUACCUCUAGGCGGGCUGGUGGGUCCUUCUGGAAAUCUAAUGCUUCUUGGAGAUUCCUUCACCGAACCCCUGAGUGGGAAAAUUGCCCGGGUACAUGGAGCUCACCUCCGGCAAGACAAGGUGCUGCCCCACAGUGGAAGUUAUCAAGCAGUGUUGGAAGCUGACUGGCUGGUAUCACAGACCCAUGUGGUGAACACUCUAAAGCAGUUCAAGGCAUCUGUUUUGGAAGAUACCUGUCUAGUAGCAGACAGAUUAGCAGCACUAAAGGCUUCAGUAGAAGAUAUGAAGAAGUCUUUCACCACUAGGUUUUAUCAUGCAAUACAUUGCUUGCAAAGCCUGGAGAAAAAACGGGAAAUAGCUUCAAGCCUCAAGAGUAAUGGUGGUAAACUGGGUAUGAUCAAAUAUCCUGGCACAGAGAUGUGGAUCCCUGCAGUGUUUGGAAUGAAAAUCCCAGAUCCUGGUGGGUCCAGUUUGAUGGUGCCAAUUCUGGGAAUAGACUGUGACUGGAAUAGCAGGCAGCCUUCCCCACUCGCAGGAACCAUGGAAGAUAGACAUGGACAAGGCCUUGUCCCCAUCACAAUUGGUGCCAAAACCAUAAGUCCAAUUACAGGUGAAAUUGGGCCUGUUAUAGGUGCUCAGACCAACCCCUGGACACACAAUGUAAUUCCCACUGUUCAGUCUCUUGGAGCUUUACCCAGAAGAGCUACAGAUCCAGAUCUGCUGGACUUUCUAGAAAAGGAAAUAAAUUCAAGGCGUAUAUACUGGCAUAGCAGAAGAAAAAAGGAAGAAGGGCUUCUUAAAAAGCUGAAUUCUCUAUUUCUUCAUGUUCUUGAUGCUGCAAAAGAGGGGAAGGCACAGAAGAUAAAAUACAAGGAAAAAGUGAAAGACAUUGAGGAAAUGUGCCACUUUCUUAAAGGAUCCUCUCUGCAGGAAGCUGAGAGACGAACCUCAAAAUAUUUUAGUAGCCAACUGGCCACCGAACUCUCCUUGCUCUUCAAAGCCGACAGAGAUGAAAGAGAACAGGAAAUGCAGGUUCUGUUGGAGAUCAGAAAGGCGCUGGAGAAGCUGAUGGAGUUUGCUGAAAAGAUGCAACUAGAAGAAGAACGAAUAUAUAUGCAGCUAAUAGAGAGAGAAAAGCACAGGAGCCACAUCUCAAGCACCGAGACAGUGACAAACCUGGAGCUCAGAAAGGUCGUGCUUGCCCUAGCCUCCGAGUCUCAGGAACAUGUACUGAAACAACAAGCUAGUGUGGAGACUGCGUACAGCAAACUGGAAUAUUUGAGGGACCUGUCAAACAUCCAAACACAGCAGACAAAGGCAUUUUUCUCUGGGUCACAACAAUGUUUUGAAAACUAUCAGACAACCAGAUUUUAUGGCAUUAGUGGGAUCUCACGUAGUACAUGCAAGGUCAUCCAGCAAAACCUGAUCUCAUUACUCAAGUCUACGGUUCAGAUGCUGGAGGAAAAUAGCAAAAGCAGUGUAUCACCUGAGACAUCAGGCUACUCCUCAGGGAGCACUUUAAAAGCAUCUGCUGGUCAUUCAGAGACAUUAAGGGCUGAGGCAAGUCAAGAAACUGCUUCAGCUUCCAUAUUAUCACCUGCUCUGCCCACUUCAUAUUCAGAAAGGGCACUCCACGUACAACAAGAAAUCCAGACAAGGUUCUUCCUUGAGAAGCAUGCUUGUGAACUGGCACAUCUGGAACUGUCCUUAUUGAUGGAAGAAAUAAACACUAUCUUUUCCUUCUAUGAAUCAUCCAAGGCUAAGGAAAAGGAAUACCGUAAAGGAAAUUGGGUAAGGUUGGCAUUGCAUCAGCUUAGAGUUCUCAGCUGGUACCCAGGAAAAGAAAG